rnacentral:rRNA from 1 species
UACGUAGGGGGCUAGCGUUGUCCGGAAUCAUUGGGCGUAAAGCGCGUGUAGGCGGCCCGGUAAGUCCGCUGUGAAAGUCGGGGGCUCAACCCUCGGAUGCCGGUGGAUACUGUCGGGCUAGAGUACGGAAGAGGCGAGUGGAAUUCCUGGUGUAGCGGUGAAAUGCGCAGAUAUCAGGAGGAACACCAAUGGCGAAGGCAGCUCUCUGGGACGGUACUGACGCUGAGACGCGAAAGCGUGGGGAGCGAACAGG